rnacentral:rRNA from 1 species
GGACGAAGCCAGCCACCGGGCCAACACAUGCCAGUCCAGGGGCAGCGGAAAGGUAGCCAUACCUUUGCCGGCGACCGGCCCCCGGGUGAAUAACACGUAUGCCAUCCACCUGUAACAGGGGGAUAACCCGGAAAAAUCCGGACUAAUACCCCAUAAUAUGGGCGUUCCGCAUGGAGAGCUCAUUAAACAGAGCAAUUUUGGUUACACACGAGCAUGCGCUCCAUUAUAUAGUAGGCGGGGUAACGGCCCACCUAGUCUUCGAUGGAUACGGGUUCUGAGAGGAACGUCCCCCACAUUGGAACUGAGACACGGUCCAAACUCCUACCGGAGGCAGCAAUGAGGAAUAUUGGUCAAUGGACCAGAGUCUGAACCACCCCAGUAACGUGAAGGAUGAACGUUCUAUGGAUUGUAAACUUCUUUUAUACGGGAAUAAACGAAUCCACGUGUGGAUUUUUGCAUGUACCGUAUGAAUAACGAUCGGCUAACUCCGUGCCAGCAGCCGCGGUAAUACAGAGGAUCCGAGCGUUAUCCGGAUUUAUUGGGUUUAAAGGGAGCGUAUAUGGGUUGUUAAGUCAGUUGUGAAAGUUUGCGGCUCAACCGUAAAAUUGCAAUUGAUACUGGCAGUCUUGAGUACAGUUGAGGUAGGCGGAAUUCGUGGUGUAGCGGUGAAAUGCUUAGAUAUCACGAAGAACUCCGAUUGCGAAGGCAGCUUACUAACCUGUAACUGACAUUGAUGCUCGAAAGUGUGGGUAUCAAACGGGAUUAGAUACCCUGGUAGUCCACACGGUAAACGAUGAAUACUCGCUGUAGGCGAUAUACAGUCUGCGGCCAAGCGAAAGCAUUAAGUAUUCCACCUGGGGAGUACGCCGGCAACGGUGAAACUCAAAGGAAUUGACGGGGGCCCGCACAAGCGGAGGAACAUGUGGUUUAAUUUGAUGAUACGCGAGGAACCUUACCCGGGUUUAAAUUGCAACCGAAUAUGGCGGAAACGCUAUAGCUAGCAAUAGCGGUUGUGAAGGUGCUGCAUGGUUGUCGUCAGCUCGUGCCGUGAGGUGUCGGCUUAAGUGCCAUAACGAGCGCAACCCUUGCCGAUAGUUACUAACAGGUUAUGCUGAGGACUCUGUCGGGACUGCCAUCGUAAGAUGUGAGGAAGGUGGGGAUGACGUCAAAUCAGCACGGCCCUUACGUCCGGGGCUACACACGUGUUACAAUGGGGGGGUACAGAGGGCUGCUACCACGCAAGUGGAUGCCAAUCCCAAAAACCUCUUUCAGUUUGGAUUGAAGUUUGCAACCUGACUUCAUGAAGCUGGAUUCGCUAGUAAUCGCGCAUCAGCCACGGCGCGGUGAAUACGUUCCCGGGCCU